rnacentral:lncRNA from 1 species
UGAUUGUUAAGUGAAUAUGUUUUGUGGAUAAAUUUAGCUUUAAGGAGGUUGACAUCAGAAUUUCUUGUAUCCACAUGAUUAAAAAGUUAUUCUGAAUAGUAGCCAGGACUGGAAAAAUAGGUUUUUUGUGUUAGACUGUAUGUCACAAUGAAAUUUUUAAAAACAGGGUUCUACCUAUACAAUAUAUUACAAUGACUUUACAAUGCAAUCUAUACAUUUUAGGGUAUAUUCAUCCAAAUGUACAAAGUACUAUUCAAGGAGCAAUUAAAAUCUACAGGUAAAAUCUUUUUCUUCCCUGGCAUUUCUAGCAUGAUUUCAUAUAUGGGAACACAAAUUUAAAACUGUUUAAGUAUUCUAAAUCCUGAUUCCCAAGAAAUCAUGGCUGACCUAGCCCAAGCUACUUUCAAAAAUGCAUUUCCUACUCACUACCCUCCCUUUGACAGAGAGGACAGGAACUAACAUUAUAUUACACAUACUAAACCCUGUCGGUUUUCACUGUUUUUGUUUUUUUUUUUAAACUUGAGAGGACUCAUUUAGGUUAGGAAAAGGUAUUCUUAAAAAUAGCCUUGACAUAUAAACAAAAGGGCAUCAUCAAAAAAAAAAUUUUUUUUACUAUUUCCUAUUUUGCCUCUGUGAUCAUUAGAUAUUUGUAGAAAUGUUUUAUUGAUGCUUUUUUUUUGUCAUUGUCAAUUUCCAGCAACUUUAUUUUCCUUCCCUAUAGGACUUCUCUUGUAUAGUAUAAUAAAUGUGAUAAAGCAAUAGUACUUGACACAUUGGCCAUACCUAAAAACAUAUGCAUCAGUGUGUGUCUCUAGUUUAGAAUCUCAUUGCUGAGACUUGGGAAGCAGACUUCACCAAGUAUCCCCAAGUCAAAAUUCAUUGCUGCAUUCAUUAGAAUUCUGAAGUUUUUCAAAAUCAUUUUCUUUUAUAUUAUUGUAGUCAAUGGGUAAACUGUUCCCCUGGCACAGUUCAUUUCACUCUUCAUCAGUUCAUACAAAAUUUUCCAAGUUUUACAUUUUUUUUUUUGGUUCAAAAUAUUUAUUCCAGUUCUACCUCAUGCCCAUCAGAUUGGUAAAGUAGACCAAAAAAAAAAAAAAAAAAAAAAAAAGAAAAGAAAGAAAGAAAUGGUAUGUUGGAUGGACCAUGGGAAAACAGAUUAAUACGUAUUAAUCCAUUGUUGUUGAAGCUGUGAACUGAUUGGUAUUGCCAUUCUGGAAAACUACUCUGGAAAGCAAGUGGAACAAUGUCCCCAAAGUUAGUAAAUUGUAUUAUUAUGUCAAAUCAUUAU